ACAAACGAACAGGGCAGGAUGAAAUGGACAGUGAUGAUAAGUAUUUGAUUUUUUGUGAUUAUGGUGAUACAUUAGAGACGCAUUUUUCUUAUGCACUUGAUUUCGAAAAUAAAUGUUUAAUGUCUGAAAAUUCUGUUAAAAGUAGGUUGAAACAUUCUAUUGAAUUUUGGCGGUCUACUAUCAGUGCUAAUACAGACAUUAUUAAUGUAAUUGAGCACGGUUAUGUUUUACCAUUUAUUAUUAAGCCUCCUACUUUUAUAAUGAAAAAUAAUAAAUCAGCUUUAGACAAUAAUGAAUUUGUAGAGGAAGCCAUUCAUGAACUUAUUUCGAAAAAUUGUGUUUAUGAGGUUCCUUUUAUUCCCCACAAUGUGAAUCCUUUGUCCGUUGCAACAAAUUCUUCUGGCAAGAAAAGAUUGAUUCUGGAUAUGAGUGUUUUAAAUACUUUUAUAAAGUAUGAUAGAGUAAAAUUUGAAGAUAAUAAAGUUGCAAAAGAAUUGCUCGUAGAUAAAGGUUUCAUGAUUAAAUUUGAUUUGACUAGUGGAUAUCAUCAUAUUGAUAUUUCUCCAAAUCAUCAUACUUUUUUGGGUUUUUCAUGGAAAUUUGGCAAAAUUGUAAAAUAUUUCGUUUUUUCCGUGUUAGCCUUUGGCAUUACAUCUGCUCCAAAAGUCUUUACUAAAACGUUAAGACCGUUAAUUAAGUAUUGGAGAUUAAAUGGUUUGCGUGUUGUCAUUUUUCUUGAUGAUGGUUGGUGUGUAAAUGCAACGUAUGAGAAAACUUUAAAUGACGGUAAAUUUAUACUGGAGACUCUGCAAAGAGCGGGUUUUGUUUUAAAUAUGGAAAAAUCUAUUUUUAUCCCUGUACAGUGUUUAGAAUGGGUAGGUUUUGUCUGGGAUUUAAAAUGUGGAGUGAUUCGAAUACCGGAGCGGCGUAUUCAAAAUACUUUAGAGUGUUUAAAUAAAGUUCAGUCUUCCCUUGACUACAUAACAGCUAGAAAUCUUGCUUGCUUGGCGGGUAAAAUAAUAUCGAUGUCUCCUGUUUUAGUCAAUGUUUGUUUAUUGAAAACUAAAGUAUUUUACAGAUUGAUAGAAAGCAGGCUAAGUUGGGAUUCAUAUUUAAGUGCGUUCGAGUGUAAAGAUGAUUUGGAAUUUUGGCAUAAUGUGUUUUCUGCUCCUUUUGAGAAACCAUUAUUCACAGAUUAUAUUCCGGAAGUGUUUGUUUUCUCAGACGCUUCCGAUAGAGCGGGGGCAGCAAUAAUUCAACAUGAUGGUUCUAUUUCACACAGGAUGUGGUCUGAUGAUGAGCGAGGGCAAAGUUCUACGUUCAGAGAACUUAAAGCUAUACAAUUUAGUUUGUUAAGUUUUUUACCAAAAUUAAAGGGUAAAUGUGUUUUAUGGCACACUGAUAGCAAGAACUGUGUUAGUGUUAUUGAAAAGGGUAGUACACAGCAAAUGCUUCAUAAUAUGGCUUUAUAUAUAUUUUCUUUAUGUGCUGCUAAUGCAAUUUCAUUGAAAAUUGUUUGGUUAAGCAGGACUGAAAACACAGUUGCAGAUAGUCUUAGUAGGUUGAUAGAUUAUGAUGAUUAUGGUGUUUCUAAACAGUUCUUCUGUUAUAUUGAUUCAUUGUAUGGACCCAAUGACGUAGAUAGAUUCGCUAAUUCUUACAAUCACGUAUUACCUAGGUAUAAUUCUUUAUGUUGGACUCCGACAACGGAAGGUGUCGAUGCUUUUUCAGUAAAUUGGUGUAACAACAAUAAUUGGUUAGUUCCUCCAGUUUAUCUUAUUCCAAAAGUAUUAAAUUAUUUAAAUGCAUGCAGAGGACGUGGUACAUUGGUUGCGCCAUACUGGCCUUCUAGUCCAUUUUUUCCAAUGAUUUUUGGUAAAGAUACUCAUUUAUUGUGUGUUAUUAAGGAUAUUUUAAUUUUUGAUAAUCCUAAAGAUAUUUAUGUGCAGGGUAGAAAUACUGAAUCAAUAUUUGGUUCGGAACAAUUUACAAGUAAAGUUAUGGUUGUUAGGUUGCAUUGUGACGUUUAAGUUUAUUUGUUUUUGUAUCUUUUGUUUUGUUAUAAAGUAUCUGAAAAUUUAUAACUACAGGCAUUUUCAAAUCGGACAGAUGGAUACAGGUUGCCGACAUGUGCAAAAAAGUCUCGGUUCACCCACAGGACAUGUUCUCAGAAGUUAAAGGUCUUCUUUUUGGAGGCAAAGAAAAAUCAACUGUGCAUCAAUACAGUGCAGUAACUGGACAGUUCGAAUGGUAUAUUAAGUAUUGGAGAACAUAAAGUUAAUACACAGUUCGAGAGGUAUAUAACGUGGUGGAGAAUAUUUAGGUAUUCAUUUUAUGUUUUAUAUUAUUUGUAUUCUCUCUUUGUUUUAUUCGAAAGUCCUGUCAAAUACAAGCACUCACUCCUAUUUUGUCUUUGGUUUAUUAUUUGUUUGAUAAUGAUAAUUAUGAUUAUAUGGGUUAUAAAGAUGAUGAGAGUUUAAUAGUAUUUUGAGAAUAGAGAAUAAUAAAUUUACUCAUAACUAUGAGUAAAUGAAAUUAUUCUCGGUUUGAUAAAUACGGUAUAGUAUGGUUUAAUACGUGUUAUUUAGAAGAGAGAUUAUGGUAAUGGUUUAGCGCGUAUAAUGCACGGGUUUUGUGUGCAUGUUUUAGCGCGAAAGCGCACGAGUUUUUCGUUUUGGGGUAUAUAUGAUUUGCACAUCUAGUGAGACGCCAUUCGAGGGUUGUUUUUGACAGGCAUAGCUAUGGAGCAAGAAAACGAAAGGGUGAUAACCCCGCCCGCCCUCCCUUAAUGAGCAUAUGUAUGGUUAAAUAAUUGGUUACAUUGCUUUUAUGUUUAUAAUUUUGCUAUUAUAAAGUCUAUAUUUAGUAUAUUUUCAGUUCGGUUUUUAUUCCAUGUGAGAUGGGAUCUUAACACGAACCGAUUCCUUUACUGGGAAAGACGAUGGGUGUAUUUUCAUUUAAGUCUGAAGCAGCUAAGUUUUCUUGAUUAUUUUUACUCAUUUUUUACUUAAUAUUGUGUUUGAAUAAGGUUUUUUAAGUUAUGGGUGUCAUGUUUUUCGAGACCCUCACUUCCUGGAGAUAGUACCUCCAGCAUACUUAUUGUAAUAUUGGUAUGUUUAAAUGUCAGUGUUAUUAUUUUUUGUUGUCGUUCGUAAUGAACGUUUAAUUUUAAAGACAUUUUUUAUUGUACGAUUACUUAAUAUUUUCAUUUUGGUGUGACUGGUUAGAUGUUGAAGUCGGUUUAAUAUAGCUGUUAAAUUCGUCAUAUGCAUUUAUAUAUUUUUCGGAAUAUUUAUGAUUUAUCAACAUUCUUUUUAGAUGCUUUAUGGAUUUUAUGGUUUGAGUGACUUUUUUGUUUCUUGUUGAUGUCCGGGGUGUGUGCAGGAUGCUUUUGAUGUUUGUUUGUUAUGUUAACUUGCGCAUUGAAAUUGAUAAUGUUUAAUUACAUUUUUUACUAUAAAUUACUUAAUGUUUACAGUAUCUUAAUAGCUGCUUAUUUGUAGAUUUCUCUAAAUUAGAGGUUUCGGGAGGUGAUGAAGGCACCUAGACACCGGUCUCGAGCCAUGGGUCCUCAUACGUCCCCCUGCCAUUAAAAGAAAAAAUAAGAAAACAAAAAUGGCAGUAGGGUUGCGUAUCCCGCUCGCGGUUUUACCUGAAUCGUUUAUUACUACUGAUUAUUGUAUGGGGUGUACGUGAAGUCAUGUACAUUUCUCUUGAUUGGUGGUGGUAGAUGAAUCUUGCAGAUAUUAGCAGCUGAUUUGAACAAAUUAAUGAAUCACAUUUGUUAAUUUAUAAUAUUUAAGCAAGUUGGCGUGAUUGAUGGGCAUUGGGGACGUCCUGUGUGCACUUUGGGCAUCGGCGGGGAUCAACUUAUUUAAACAGUAACUCUUUAUUUGAGAUAUAUACUUGACGUCUAAUUGUUAUGAAUACAUUUGCACUUUUUCACAUGACACACAUGUGUAUGUGAAGUGUUCAUAAUUACAUGCUCUACAGCAUUUAAAUAGUAUCGUUUCAGUUUUUUUUACACCUGAACAAAGAUGUUGCACCGUUUCCAGUCGUCUCGAGAUUCCUCAACUGAGCGGUGCCGUUGAGGUCUAUAUCCAUUGGCACAUACAACAUAUACGGGCGUCAGAAUAAUUGUUUUUUGCAUUUAUUUGUUGAAAGUCCUG